rnacentral:lncRNA from 1 species
UCCAAGUCUAUUCUAAUCUCUGCCUUUCAACUAUAGCACUUAGUUCAUUAAAUAUUAAUGUAAUUUUUGGCCUGAUUGUACUUAGGCUAUAAUUUUGUCACUACUUUUUAAUAUGGCUGUUAUCACUCAUAAUCGGAGAACAUUCAGAGGCUAAGGCAAGAGGAUCACUUGAUCUCAGGUAUUGAGACCAGCUUGAAUAACAGCAAUAUCCCCAUCUCUACAGAAAGUUAAAAAGUUAGCUGGGCAGGGUGCCAUGUGCCUGUAGUCCUAGUAACAUGGGGCUGAGGUAGCAGGAUUGCUUGAAACUGGGGAAGAGAAGAUUGCGUAGAAGUGAAAUUGUGCCACUGUUCACUGUACUCCUGCUUUGGCAACAAAACUUUAACAUCCUGACAAGAUCCCCAAGCCAGAAGCUAAUAUUAAGAAAAGCAACAGUUUUGGACUACAGCAUCUAACUUCCUCUUCCUGCCGAGGGCAACUCUUCAAUCAAUCAUCUUUUCUGAAGAAUGCCUUGUUUGUUUACUUUGUUUUUCUUUAUUCUUUAUCUUCCAAUAUACCAUUUUAUAAUUAUAAUGCAGUAGUAUCAUAUAUCUAUCUAUAUUGGAACAUUUUAAUUGUGUUUUUGCUUUGUCUUGUUUUUGUAUUUUUACUUAUCUUGUAGAUAAAAAUAAUUUUCUGCUAUACUCUGAAGCAAAAAUGGAAGAAGAAAAGAAUAAAUGCCAAAUAAAAUUCAGGCUACCACUAAAAAUGCUGUGAUCUAAACGCAGUUGUUUUAGAAGGUACUAAAAUGAAAUCUGGGUUUCUUAGGCUAUCAGAAUUAUUUUAAGAGUUUU